AUUGAACGCUGGCGGCAUGCCUUACACAUGCAAGUCGAACGGCAGCACGGGAGCAAUCCUGGUGGCGAGUGGCGAACGGGUGAGUAAUAUAUCGGAACGUGCCCAGUCGUGGGGAUAACGUAGCGAAAGCUACGCUAAUACCGCAUACGAUCUAUGGAUGAAAGCGGGGGAUCGCAAGACCUCGCGCGAUUAGGAGCGGCCGAUAUCAGAUUAGGUAGUUGGUGAGGUAAAAGCUCACCAAGCCGACGAUCUGUAGCUGGUUUGAGAGAACGACCAGCCACACUGGGACUGAGACACGGUCCAGACCCCUACGGGAGCAGCAGUGGGGAAUAUUGGGACAAAUGGGCGCAAGCCUGAUCCAGCC
rnacentral:rRNA from 1 species